UUAAAUUGAAGAGUUUGAUCAUGGCUCAGAUUGAACGCUGGCGGCAGGCCUAACACAUGCAAGUCGAACGGUAACAGGAAUCAGCUUGCUGAUUCGCUGACGAGUGGCGGACGGGUGAGUAAUGUCUGGGAAACUGCCUGAUGGAGGGGGAUAACUACUGG
rnacentral:rRNA from 1 species